CGGAGGUCCUCAGUUACUGCCCUGGCACCCUGCUCUGCUCCUCCCAGUGAAGUCAAAAAUGAAGCAUUUCCUUCUCCUUGUGUGUGGUCUCGCAUUCUGCAUGUCCUUGGGUCGCUGCCUGCAGUGUUACAACUGUACGACAAAGGCCCAUUGCAAAGACAGCCACAAGAACUGCACCUCUGAAGAAGACUGGUGUUACUAUGGAUUUUCAAGCCAAGGUGAAGGAAAUUAUUCUGCUGGCUGUACCUAUAAUACCUUGUGCUCCCACAACAAGAGUGCAUUUAUGAUAGAAAAUGUCACCUACAGUAUUACCUGCUGCAAGACUGACCUUUGUAACGAAGGCAGCCUCAUGAAGGUGUCUCCUUUAUUCUGCCUAGCUCCACUCACACCCUGGUUUGCACAGCUUCUCUGAAGCGGGACCUGCUUCAGGCGCGUGCCUGAACUUCUCGGCAGUAUUUCCCUCUGCCAUGACAAGCCUUUCUGAUACGAAGUGAUUUCUCCACUUAAAGUAAUGAAAAUUAAAAGCACAAACCCUUCACAUGAAGGAGUCCACACUGUCUGCAUCAUAGAACAACUCUUUUAGUGUAAAAGCUCCAAAUAUUUAGUACAGCAAGUGUUUUUAUUUUCUGGUCAAUGCCAGCUCACAGUGCAAACCCUUUUCCCCACUGGUUUCCCCUACAUCUCCAUCAAUCUACCAAGGAUAAUUAACUUCCAAUGAAACUUCUUAUUUCACCCCCAGCCCUCCGAACAAACCACCUCCUCCCCUUAUUUGGUCUCAUCUAUCACAUGCCAGCUUGUAUUCCUUCUUCUCCCCUUCCUUUCCAGCUGAAAAAAGGGUGUUAAUUUCCUUCCACAGAUGCUGCAUGACUUGCUGAGUUCCUCCAGCAUUUUGUGCGCGUGGCUCAAUAUUUCCAUUUUCCCUGGACUGGACCCGAUGGUUGCAGGGUGAAUCUAUGACCCAUGUGUACACACACACACACACGCACACAUACUCACUCACACCCACCCAUCCACACACUGCUUCAGUGAUGAGUAAUAUACAUUCACUGUCAGGGAGAACAGACACAUAUUCUUACACUCACUCAGACACACUCUCACUCACACACACACACACACACACACACACACACUCUCUCUCUCUCACACACUUAUACUCUCACACAAAUAACUCUAUCUCACACACACUGACACACACUCACUCACACACAAACUCAUUCUCUCACUAACACUCACAUUCUCUCACAAACAUUCACACUGUCUCACACUCAUUCAAACACUCACACUAUCUCACACACUCUCACACUCACUCACAUAUACUCUCUCACUCAAACACACGCUCACAGACACUCACACACACUCACACUCACUCACACACUCACUCACACACAAACUCAUUCUCUCACUAACACUCACUCUCUCAUACACUCACACACACUAAGACAUUCACACAGAUCGAACCUGGAUCUCUGUAACUGUGAGAAAGCAGGUCUAUCUGCUGCACCAUUGUACUGCCCUAACUGACUGGGGCAAUUCUUACUUUUAAUCGCGUGAGUUGACAAUGUAUAGAAUGGUGCAUCACAGAAUAUCUUAAUUUUUAAAAUACAAUGUGCUUUUAAAAAAACUUGAGCACAAACUACAAGAACUGAAAAUGUGCGGAUUGGCGCUGGUGUGCAGUCAGCUCCACCUCAGUCAGGGCAUUGUUGGUGAACAGAGGCUCCGGUUUUGUUAAAACUGCUCUGCCCUCUGUGGCCUUCCAUGGUAUAAGGGACACGUUGCGUUCCGAUGAUACUACCAUCCUUUUACAGUUCCCAGCCCUGUCUAUUAGUUGUGGAACCCCAAAGGAUACAGCUUUCCUCAUGGAAAGAUGAGGUACUGUUGCUUGGAGCUUGGAGAUAAUCACAGAUUAUGGUAUCUGGCUGCGGGAUGGUGGAAGUGCUUGAAGUCUGGAUACAUAAACUGCGGGGAACUGAGGGGAGAAUGACACCAUAAGACAUAGAAGCUGAAUGAGGCCAUUUUGCCCAUUGACUCUGGUCGGCAAUUUGAUCAUGGUUAAUUUAUUAUCCCCUCUCAUCCCCAUUCCCCUGCCUUCUCCCUGCAACCUUUGACACCCUUACUAAUCAAGACCCCAUCAACCUCCACUUUAAAUAUACACAAUAUCUUGGCCUUCACAGUCAUCAAUGGUAAUGUAUUCCACAGAUACAGCACCCUCUGGCUAAAUAAAUUCCUCCUCAUCUCUGUUCUUAAGAGAUGACUUUCUAUUCUGAGGCUAUGGCUUCCGAUCCUGGACACUCCUACCAUUGGAAACAUCUUCUCCAUGUCCACUCUAUCUAGGCUUUUCAGUAUUUCGUAGGUAUAGCAAGAUGGGAUUACUCUUUUGCAACAAGAUGGGCCAAAUUGUCUUAAGUAAGCUUAUAGUAGUCAGAAGCAAGUUAAUAUACACUGAGAGAUAUCAAAUGUAACCUCAUAGCAGGAACAAUAGUUUAUCUUCUUUAAAGGUUAUGGGGAGAAGGCCAGGGAGUGGGACUGAGGAGGGGAAGGAUCAACUAUGAUUAAAUGGUGGAGCAGACCUGAUGGGCCAAAUGGCCUAAUUCUGAUCCUAUGUCUUAUGGUCUUAUCUACUCCUAUGGAACCCUCAUUUGCUCCAUUUUCAUCAGCACAGGUGGUUCGUAUCUUCGAUUGUUUAAAUAUGCUUUGGGCUGGACGCAUUGUUUCACUGGUCUUUUGCCAAAUCUGGAUAAACUACUGAUGUGCCAAACAUGAGCUGUUUCUUUCUUUUCCCCAAAUCACCUACUUUGCUUUAUACCCUUUUAUAAAAUAAAGCAUUCUGCUAUAGUUAUUCAGCCAGAUUACCAAACAACGUCUGUACGCAUUACCCAAGCUCCAUCACGGCUGAGGGGAGAGGCAGAGUUAACAUUUCACCCUGCCAUUGCCUUGACUGGUUUCCAAAUUUACCUAGAUUUAUUAUAACUGGAAAUAUGUAAAAUGUAUAAAAUUUACUAUUCUUUAAAUCAAUUAAGUUUGAAACAUUAAUAUUAAAUAACUGAAGCUAAAUAAUAUAAUCUUAUAAUCCACUGUGUUGGACCUUUGUUUUUCUCUGUUUGCUUUUCUGUUCAUGUAACACUUAAUAAA